rnacentral:rRNA from 1 species
AUUGAACGCUGGCGGCAGGCCUAACACAUGCAAGUCGAACGAGUGGCGGACGGGUGAGCAAUGUCUGGGAAACUGCCUGAUGGAGGGGGAUAACUACUGGAAACGGUAGCCAAUACCGCAUAACAUCAGCUGUGCCCAGAUGGGAGGGGCUUGUUGGUGGGGUAACGGCUCACCACGGCUCCGAUCCGUGACUGGUCUGAGAGGAUGACCAGUCCAACUGGAACUGAGACACGGUCCAGACUCCUACGGGAGUCAGCAGUGGGGAAUAGUGCACAAUGGGCGGAAGCCUGAUGCAGCCAUGCCGCGUGUGUGAAGAAGGCCUUCGGGUUGUAAAGUACUUUCGGCGGGGAGGCGUUACCCGCAGAAGAAGCACCGGCUAACUCCGUGCCAGCAGCCGCGGUAAUAC